UUUUUUUUAAUUUAAUUGUGGUAGCCCACAAAAUAUUGGGACAACUCUCUUCCGCAGAGUAGCUGUUGACAUUAUAGUUGCGCAGGCACUUUGCUGACUCUAGAGAACCUCGGGCCAAUCGCACAUCCCCGUGGUGGCGACUUUGCAUUCAGAUGUCAUACAUAUCAACUUUCGAUGCCAGUUUCUGCGCCUACCAUGGUGACCACGGCUAACGGGGAAUCAGGGUUCCAUUCCA